UGGGGAAUAUUGGACAAUGGGCGAAAGCCUGAUCCAGCCAUGCCGCGUGUGUGAAGAAGGUCUUCGGAUUGUAAAGCACUUUAAGUUGGGAGGAAGGGCAGUAAGCGAAUACCUUGCUGUUUUGACGUUACCGACAGAAUAAGCACCGGCUAACUCUGUGCCAGCAGCCGCGGUAAUACAGAGGGUGCAAGCGUUAAUCGGAAUUACUGGGCGUAAAGCGCGCGUAGGUGGUUCGUUAAGUUGAAUGUGAAAGCCCCGGGCUCAACCUGGGAACUGCAUCCAAAACUGGCGAGCUAGAGUAGGGCAGAGGGUGGUGGAAUUUCCUGUGUAGCGGUGAAAUGCGUAGAUAUGGGAAGGAACACCAGUGGCGAAGGCGACCACCUGGGCUCAUACUGACACUGAGGUGCGAAAGCGUGGGGAGCAAACAGG
rnacentral:rRNA from 1 species